rnacentral:rRNA from 1 species
UACGUAGGUGGCAAGCGUUGUCCGGAAUUAUUGGGCGUAAAGCGCGCGCAGGCGGUCCUUUAAGUCUGAUGUGAAAGCCCACGGCUCAACCGUGGAGGGUCAUUGGAAACUGGGGGACUUGAGUACAGAAGAGAAGAGUGGAAUUCCACGUGUAGCGGUGAAAUGCGUAGAGAUGUGGAGGAACACCCGUGGCGAAGGCGGCCCCCUGGGCCGUACCUGACGCUGAGGCGCGAAGGCUAGGGGAGCGAACGGG